rnacentral:tRNA from 3 species
GGGGAUAUGGCGAAAUUGGUAGACGCUACGGACUUAAAAUCCGUCGAUUUUAGAAAUCGUGAGG